rnacentral:rRNA from 1 species
UACGGAGGAUGCAAGCGUUAUCCGGAUUUAUUGGGUUUAAAGGGUGCGCAGGUUGUUUGAUAAGUCAGUGGUGAAAGUCUGUCGCUUAACGGUAGGAUUGCCAUUGAUACUGUUGGACUUGAAUAUGGAUGAGGUAGGCGGAAUGUGUAGUGUAGCGGUGAAAUGCAUAGAUAUUACACAGAACACCGAUUGCGAAGGCAGCUUACUAAUCCAUCAUUGACGCUGAGGCACGAAAGCGUGGGGAUCAAA